GUGCGGUCUUUAUUUCCGGCUAAAGCGCGCUGUGUGAGAACAUGAAAAAAAUUGGUGUAAUUCUACCCCCAGUAUAGUCUUUUGCAAUUGUAUUUUCUGUUCAGCUAUCUGUUAGCUCUUUGCGCCAUGGGUAUUUUGAAAAUAAGUUCCCAAUGCAUCAGGGUCUUCUCUAGUUCAAGAAUGCUGUGUAAUGUACCACAUCAUCCCUCCGUACAGAGCUUCACUUUGAUGCGGAUGAUCCCCAGCUUUCACACACUGUCAAGGCAUGGAGCAGGCGGUAAAGCACAACAGUUUGGACAAUGUACAAAAACAGGGGUUAUGGUACCACAAGCUAACGGUCCUGAUUAUCCUUCACAAGUGA